rnacentral:rRNA from 1 species
CGAUUAGUUAGUUGGUGGGGUAAAGGCCUACCAAGACCACGAUCGGUAGCCGGACUGAGGGGUCGAACGGCCACAUUGGAACUGAGAAACGGUCCAGACUCCUACGGGAGGCAGCAGUGGGGAAUAUUGGGCAAUGGGGGAAACCCUGACCCAGCAACGCCGCGUGAAGGAAGAAGGCCUUCGGGUUGUAAACUUCUUUGAUCAGGGAAGAAACAAAUGACGGUACCUGAAGAACAAGCCACGGCUAACUACGUGCCAGCAGCCGCGGUAAUACGUAGGUGGCAAGCGUUAUCCGGAUUUACUGGGUGUAAAGGGCGUGUAGGCGGUCUCGCAAGUCGGAUGUGAAAUUCCCGGGCUUAACCCGGGCGCUGCAUCCGAAACUGCGGGACUUGAGUGCUGGAGAGGAUAGUGGAAUUCCUAGUGUAGCGGUAAAAUGCGUAGAUAUUAGGAGGAACACCGGUGGCGAAGGCGACUAUCUGGACAGUAACUGACGCUGAGGCGCGAAAGCGUGGGGAGCAAACAGGAUUAGAUACCCUGGUAGUCCACGCCGUAAACGAUGGAUACUAGGUGUAGGGGGUAUCGACCCCCCCUGUGCCGGAGUUAACACAAUAAGUAUCCCACCUGGGGAGUACGGCCGCAAGGCUGAAACUCAAAGGAAUUGACGGGGGCCCGCACAAGCAGUUGAGUAUGUGGUUUAAUUCGACGCAACGCGAAGAUCCUUACCAGGAUUUGACAUCCUCUGACGACUCUAGAGAUAGGGUUUCCCUUCGGGGCAGAGAGGACAGGUGGUGCAUGGUUGUCGUCAGCUU